UGCAGUCGAGCGAACAGAUAAGGAGCUUGCUCCUUUGACGUUAGCGGCGGACGGGUGAGUAACACGUGGGUAACCUACCUAUAAGACUGGGAUAACUUCGGGAAACCGGAGCUAAUACCGGAUAACAUUUGGAACCGCAUGGUUCUAAAGUGAAAGAUGGUUUUGCUAUCACUUAUAGAUGGACCCGCGCCGUAUUAGCUAGUUGGUAAGGUAACGGCUUACCAAGGCGACGAUACGUAGCCGACCUGAGAGGGUGAUCGGCCACACUGGAACUGAGACACGGUCCAGACUCCUACGGGAGGCAGCAGUAGGGAAUCUUCCGCAAUGGGCGAAAGCCUGACGGAGCAACGCCGCGUGAGUGAUGAAGGGUUUCGGCUCGUAAAACUCUGUUAUUAGGGAAGAACAAACGUGUAAGUAACUGUGCACGUCUUGACGGUACCUAAUCAGAAAGCCACGGCUAACUACGUGCCAGCAGCCGCGGUAAUACGUAGGUGGCAAGCGUUAUCCGGAAUUAUUGGGCGUAAAGCGCGCGUAGGCGGUUUCUUAAGUCUGAUGUGAAAGCCCACGGCUCAACCGUGGAGGGUCAUUGGAAACUGGGAAACUUGAGUGCAGAAGAGGAAAGUGGAAUUCCAUGUGUAGCGGUGAAAUGCGCAGAGAUAUGGAGGAACACCAGUGGCGAAGGCGACUUUCUGGUCUGUAACUGACGCUGAUGUGCGAAAGCGUGGGGAUCAAACAGGAUUAGAUACCCUGGUAGUCCACGCCGUAAACGAUGAGUGCUAAGUGGUUAGGGGGGUUUCCGCCCCUUAGUGCUGC
rnacentral:rRNA from 1 species